GCUUCCCUUUCCUUGAGCGGCCCUAGUGAUCUGGCUUGUGGCACCAUUGCCCUGGGGACCAAGCCGCAUCAUAAAGGAAAAUUAUUUUUUUCAUUCUGACCAGAGCAAAAUACAUGUGAUAAAACAUAGACAUUAGCCACUCUGCUUAGCACCCAAUAUCAAACUGGCAAGGCUUAAAUUUGCCCCCAGAUGUGCCCUGUCAUCUUUAAUCCAACCUCUGACUUAGAGUUUCAACAUGUGGUCUCUGGACAAGAUGGCUGCCAUGAAUAACGAAAAGAUAGGAAAAGAAAAGUAGAGCCAGGAGCAGUGGCUCACACCUGUAAUCCUAGCACUUUGGGAGGCCAAGGCGGAUGGAUCACCUGAGGUCACCUGGGUUGUCAAAAGUGAAUUUGUGAGCUGUGUGUGGUGGUAUGUGCCUGUAAUCCCAGCUGCUCAGGAGGCUGAGGCAGAAGAAUCCCUUAAGCUCAGGAGUUGGAGGCUAGCCUGGACAACAUAGUGAGACCCUGUGUCUAAAAUAUUGUUUUAAAGUUAAAUAAAAUGGAUUUAUAGCCACCUAUGGAAUCAAUCCCUGAGGGUAGGCCUUUGGGCUCUGCAUUUUAAUGUGCUCCUCAGGUGGUUUAGUGCAGAUUGAAGCCUGAGUUCCAUAAGUAUAGGUGAUAGAGUAGUAGAAGAAAACAUACGUCUGUUUGUUUAGGAGGCAGUACAUCACCAUAUAUUUGAGACAACUAGAGGAUAAUACUUCAUCCCAUGCAUAUGUUAGGAUACUGUGGGCUGCAAGUACCAGAAAACCCAACUCAGACUUAAAUACUAAAGAAAUUUUUAUGUAAUGCAAGUUAAAAGGCAGGACAUAUUUGUGAUUGGUAGACUCAGUGAAGGUCAUCAAAUAUCAGUUUUUCUUUCUCUCCACUCUGCUGUUUACCUUUUCAGCCUCAUUCUAUGGCUGAUUCACUACUCCUAGGUUGUAAGACAGCUACCAGCAGCAAUUAGUGCUUCAUGUUUUCUUGUUUAUAUCCAGUGGGAGACAAACAAAUGCUUACAAUUGCUCUCCAGAGUGAGAAAGAAUUCUAGAAACCUCCAACAAUCCUCCAUUUGUGUCUCAUCAGCAAGAAGUGAACUACAUGGCCAUUUCUGAAUGACAAGAGGGUAGCGAUGGCCUUUUAACCAGUUAACGCUAUGCCCAUUUAGCUAGAAUCAAAGUUGUCAGCAUUUCCUCAAUUUGCAUUGUUUCAAAGAGGAAGGCUCAAAUGGAUGUGAGGGAGUAUAUCCCUAUGCCAGUUCACUGCACCCAGUAAUUGGCAUCCUGACUUGGCCAUUUAGGCACAGCCAUUCUGGCUUCUCAUCCCUUUGCUGAGCUUCUCACUGCAGAUCCCUAUCUUUUGGUUGGAGGUUGGGGGUAAGAUCAGACUUUUGACAAGACCACAACAAAGGAAUCACAGGUCUAUCACUUUGGUCACCUUAGAAGACUAGCCAAAGCAUUUCCUAACUCUUUGAGGUCGCAUAGACUGCCUCUGAAGUUGUAUUUCUUUCAUAGCUGCAGUAGCCACACAUUAAUUCACUUGCUAUAAAUAAAUCAUUGGAUGCAUAAUGAAAUUUAUUCUUUUCUAUGAAAAUUGAGGGCAGCAAUUCUCAUAAGGGGACUCUACUCUCCCUGCCUAAUAGUGUUACAGUCAUGCGUCACGUAACAGUGCUUCAGACAAAUGAUGGACCACAUUUAUGACAGUGGUCCCAUAAGGCUUUAACGGAGCAUUUAUAGAAACCUAAUAUAUUGCAUUUGAUGUUGGCAUUGCAGAUCAAGCAGGGAAAUGACUGAUAUUCAGUAAUGAUGCUGGGACAUUUGGUUUUCAAUAUGAUAAAAUAUAUAGAAAAUAAAAAUAUAUACCAUCUAGGUUUGUAUAAGUACACUCUAUGUAAUGUUCACACAACAAAGAAAUUGGCUAAUGGUGCUUUUCUUAGAAUAUAUCCCGGUCAUUAAGCAAUGCAUGACUGUGUUUAAAAAUGUACUUAAGGAUCACUUCUACCCUGGAAAUGCAUAUUCAUUAGGUAAUAUUUUAUGUUUGGAAAAGAAUACUUGCACAAGGUCUCAUGGCUUCAUGGCUGCUUAGUGACAGAACCAGAAUUCAAUUUGAGGGUACAUGACCCAUUUUCUUUGAGCUCUCUUUCAGCAUUUUUAUACUGACAUCAUCUAUACUGGUAGAAUAGUAUAUAUAGCCAAGCACACACCAAGGCUGAAUAAGAGGUAAGAGGGACAAUAGAUAGGUUUGAGGUUGGAGAAAACGUCGACGAAUCCCAUUUAGAAUUUGCAAAUUAAACAGCAAAUAUUCCAUCCAUCUGUAAACAAGAUUCCAAUCUGAGUAACUCAUGUUGGAGAUUUAAACUCUGAACUAGCACCAUAAAAAAGGUGAAGCCAGACUCUCCAUGAGAGAGGCAAGAACAAAAGAGGCAAAUAUCCAAGUGAAGAGAAGAGAGCAGUAAGGACCCUGAUAGGGAAACAACAGGAGCCGGGGAUAGUCAGAUUUGCUGUAAGAGGACAGAGAGCAUUUAUUUAUUUAAGAGACUGGGUCUAUGUUGCCCAGGUUAGACUUGAACUCCUGUGCUCCAGCAAUCCUUCUGCUCUCAGCCUCCCAAGUAGCUGGAACUACAGGCGCAUGCCACCAUGCUCAGCAGUAUUAGCUCAGGGCAAAAUAUACUGAAAUGGGGAGGAAUGAGAGCAGGAAGCUAGCUAGCCCUUUUGUCUCUUUCAAACCAGCAUUCCCCAGAAUUGGAAUUUCUACCUACGUUCUUGACCUUCUUAGUGUUACUCAAAUUCUACAUGUGGAGUAAUCAAGGAAACUAAAGGCUUAAUGACCUGUCUCUCAUGUGGCAUUAGGGCUUGUUUUACAUUAUUCUACUCAAUAAAAAUAUAGAGGUUUUGACCGGGCGCAUUGGCUCAUGCCUGUAAUCCCAGCACUUUGGGAGGCUGAGGCGGAUGGAUCACGAGGUCAAGAGUUUGAGACCAGCCUGGCCAAUAUGGUGAAAUCCCGUCUCCACUAAAAACACGAAAAUUAGCUGGGUGUGGUGGUACGUGCCUGUGGUCCCAGCUGCUCGGGAGGCUGAGGCAGGAGAAUUGCGUGAACCCAGGAGGCAGAGGUUGCAGUGAGCCGAGAUUGUGUCACUGCACUCCAGCCUGGACAGGGUGAGACUGUCUCAAAAAAAAAAAAAAAAAAAAAAAAAAGGUUUCAUACAAAGGACUUAUACCAGGUGCUAUGGACUGAAUGUGUCUCCUCAACAUUCUUAUGUUAAAGCCUAAUCCCCAGUGUGAUAGUAUUUGGAUGAAGGGCCUUUGGGAGGUAAUUAUUAGGUCAUGAGGGUGGAGCCUUCGUGAAUGGGAUUAGUGACCUUAUGAGACGUUGAGCGAUGAUCCCUCUCUUGGUCAUGUGAGGAUACAACAAGAAGGCAGCAAACUACAACCCAGGAAGCAGGUCCUCGCCAGACAGGAUUUACCAGUGCUUUGAUCUUGGACUUCCAGUCUCCAGAAAUGUGAGAAAUGUUUGUUGUUUAAGCCACCCAGUCUGUAGUAUUUUUGCUAUAGCAGCCCAAGCAGACUAAGACAUCGUAAAUGGGACACCCUUUUCUAAACCUGGCACUUAUUAGUAGAGUAUAAUCAAAGUCUGAGAGAGUAUUAGUUCAGAGCAGCAAAAAGCACAGAUGUACCAUUAUCUUUGAGGUUCACAUUCCUACACCCAGCAAUCCCAUUAAGGAAUUAGGUUAAGAGAGCUCUUUAUACCAGGGAUCAUAACAUCAUGGGACUGUAGGAUCCAAACAAGUAACAUGAAGGAGCAAAGUGGACCAAGAUAUGUGGUGACAUCACACGUUCUUCAGCUGUUCCUCCAUUUUCAUUAUAUAAAAUCUUAUGUAUCUGUCUUUGGAAGAAAUUACUCAUGCCAAUCCUAGGAAGAAGGAAGCCUCUGCCCUUUAGGACAUAAAUCUGAUACUUCAAAAUAUGACAACAGAAUUCUCUGACCCAGUUUUAACAAAGGAUUUUAUUUUGUUCCCUAAAAAGUAAAA